rnacentral:rRNA from 1 species
AACGGCCGUACCAUGCUGAAUAUACCGGUUCUCGUUAGAUCAUCGAAGUUAAGCAUCAUUGGGCGCGGUCAGUACUUGGGUGGGUGACCACCUGGGAACACUGCGUGCCGUU